CUAACACAUGCAAGUCGAACGAACUCUUCGGAGUUAGUGGCGCACGGGUGCGUAACGCGUGGGAAUCUGCCCUUGGGUACGGAAUAACUCAGAGAAAUUUGUGCUAAUACCGUAUAAUGUCUUCGGACCAAAGAUUUAUCGCCCAAGGAUGAGCCCGCGUAAGAUUAGCUUGUUGGUGAGGUAAAAGCUCACCAAGGCGACGAUCUUUAGCUGGUCUGAGAGGAUGAUCAGCCACACUGGGACUGAGACACGGCCCAGACUCCUACGGGAGGCAGCAGUGGGGAAUAUUGGACAAUGGGCGAAAGCCUGAUCCAGCAAUGCCGCGUGAGUGAUGAAGGCCUUAGGGUUGUAAAGCUCUUUUACCCGGGAUGAUAAUGACAGUACCGGGA
rnacentral:rRNA from 1 species